CCUAGUAGCGGCGAGCGAAGCGGGAUGAGCCCAGAUUUGAAAGCUCCCUUGCGGGCGCAUUGUAAGCUGGAGACGUGCCUCGUGCGGUGCGGCUGGACGCCAAGUCUGCUGGAAAGCAGCAUCAGAGAGGGUGAGAAUCCCGUGCUUGGUCUGGCCUGGUGCCGUGUUGUGGGGUGCGCUCGACGAGUCGCGUUGUUUGGGAAUGCAGCGCAAAGAGGGGUGGUAAAGGCCAUCCAAGGCUAAAUAUGGGGGAGAGACCGAUAGCGAACAAGUACCGUGAGGGAAAGAUGAAAAGCACUUUGGAAAGAGAGUUAAAGAGUACGUGAAAUUGCCAAAAGGGAAGCGUUGGAAGUCAGUGCCGGAGCGGCGCCUCGUCUGCCCCCUCUCGGGGGGUGUACUGUGGCGGCGUGGGGCCCAUGUCGGUUGCGUGUGGGGGRGAAGGCGGCGCGGAAGGUGGCUUUCCCUCUGGGGGGAGUGUUAUAGCCGCGCUGUGGAUGCCCCGCAUGCGACCGAGGACUGCUGUU
rnacentral:rRNA from 1 species